CGAGGGAAGUGGCGGGCGGGGACUCAGGGGGGCGUGCAGGUGAGCCGACUGGCAGGGGUUUGCCGGCAUGGCUGAGGCCAGGAAGCGGCGGGAGCUUCUUCCCCUGAUCUACCAGCAUCUGCUACAGGCGGGCUACGUGCGCGCGGCGCGGGAAGUGAAGGAGCAGAGUGGCCAGAAAAGUUUCCUGGCUCAGCCUGUAACCCUUCUGGACAUCUAUACUCACUGGCAACAGACGUCAGAGGUUGGCCAGAAGCGGAAGGCAGAGGAAGAUGCAGCGCUGCAGGCUAAGAAGACCCGUGUGUCCGACCCCAUUAGCAGCUCAGAGAGCUCAGAAGAGGAGGAGGAGGCAGAGGCCGAGACCGCCAAAGCCACCCCAAGACUGGCGCCCACCAACUCCUCGGUUCCGGGGGCAGUUGUGCCAUCAGGCACGAAAGAAAAAGCCAGGGCAAAGACCAAGAAGGCCGGCAAGGUGGUGAACUCCACACCGCAUCCUGCCGCUGGGAAGGCGGUGGCCCACCUUCUGUCUGGGAGGUCACCUAAGAAGUCAGCAGGGCCUUCAGCGAAUACCAUCCUGGCCUCAGAAACUGAGGAGGAGGGCAGUGUCCAGGCCCUCAGAACCACGGCCAAGCCUGGAAUGGCAUCGGCCAGCCAGGCUGACAGCUCCAGCGAGGAGACCUCCACCUCGAGCGAUGAGACAUAUGUGGAGGUGAAACCUUCAGUAAAACCACCCCAGGUCAAAACCUCACCAGCCCCUGCCAAGGACUCCCUAGGGAGAGGGGCAGCCCCAACCCCUGGGAAGGCAGGGGAUGUGACACCCCAAGUCAGAGGAGGUGCCCUGACCCUAGCCAGCAAGGCCAAGAAGCCAGAAGAGGACUCGGAGAGCAGUGAGGAGUCGUCUGAGAGUGAGGAGGGGGCCCCUUUGGAGCCGCCCCACCAGGCGAAGGCCUCGGAGAAAAUUGUCCAGGCCAGGGCUGCCUCGGGCCCCGUUAAGGGGACCCCUGGGAAAGGGGCCACCCCAGCACCCCCUGGGAGGACAGGGCCUGCAGCUGCCCGGGCCAAGUCAGGGAAGCCAGAGGAGGAUUCAGAGAGCAGCAGUGAGGAGGAGUCUGACAGCGAGGAGGAGCCGCCAGCUGCCAAGACACCACUUCAGGUGAAGCCUUCAGGGAAGACCCCCCAGGUCAAAGCUGCCGCAGCCUCUGCCAAGGAGUCCCCUAGGAAAGGGGCCCCUCCAGUGCCCCCUGGCAAGGCAGGGCCUACAGCUGCCCAGGCUCAGGUGGGGAAGGGGAAGGGGAAGGGGGAAGAAGACCCAGAGAGCAGCACUGAGGAGUCCGACAGCGAGGGGGAGGCGCCAGCAGCCGUGCCCCUAGCCACGAGCCCUGUUCAGGCAAAGCCCUUGGGGCAAAACUCCCAGGUCAGAGCAGCCUCCGGUCCCGUGAAGGGGCCCCCUCAGAAGGCAGGGCCUGCAGCCACCCAAGCAGGGAAGCAGGAGGAGGACUCAGGGAGCAGCAGCGAGGAGGAGUCAGACAGCGAGGGGGAGGCGCCGGCCCAGGUGAGGCUCCUGCCUGCAAAGUCCUCGGGGAAGAUCAUCCAGGUCACAGCUGCCUCACGUCCUGCCACGGGGCCCCCUCAGAAGGCAGGGCCUGCAGCCACCCAGGGCAAGGCCGAAAAGUGCAAGGACGAGUCAGAGAGCAGUGAGGAGGAGUCAGACAGUGAAGAGGAGGCGCCUGCAGCUGUGGCUCCAGCCCAGGCAAAACCAGCUAUGAAAACACCCCAGACCCAGGCCCCUCCAAAGAGGGGCACCCCCGUUACCCCUGCACCUGCCAAGGUUCCCCCGGUGCGAGUGGGCACGCCAGCCCCUUGGAAGGCAGGAGCCGCAUCCUCUCCAGCCUGCGCCUCAUCCCCAGCUCUGGCCAGGGGCGCCCAGAGGCCCGAGGCCUCUUCAAGCAGCGAGGAGUCGGAGAGUGAAGAGGAGACCACUCCUGCCCCACCAGCAGGACAGGCAAAGUCUGCGGGUAAAAGCGUCCCGGUGAAAGCUGCCUCUGCACCCACCAAGGGGUCCUCGGGCCAAGGGGCUGUCCCAGUACCCGCUGGGAAGGCAGGGCCUGCAAGGGCCCCGGCUAAAGCUGAGGUUCAGGAAGAUUCAGAGAGCAGUGAGGAGGAAUCAGACAGUGAGGAGGUGACUGCAGCCCCAGCCCAGGUGAAGACCUCAGCGAAAACCCCACAGACCAAAGCCAACCCAGCUUCCACCAGAACAGCUUCAGCCAAAGGGGCAGCGUCUGCUCCCGGAAAAAUGGCCACUGCAGCAGCUCAAGCCAAACAGGAGUCCCCGGCCAAGGUAAAGCCAACAGCAAGAACCCCCCAGAACAAUGCUGUCUCAGUGAGGGGCCAGGGGUCUGUGGCAGCUCUGGGGAAAGCAGUGGCCACGGCAGCCCAGGCCCAGCCGGGGCCAGUCGGGGGCCCACAGGAGGGCUCGGAGAGCAGCGAAGAGGAGUCAGACAGUGACGGGGGAGCCCCCGCUCAGGCGAAGCCCUCUGGGAAGACCCCCCAGGUCAGAACUGCCUCAGCCCCUGGCAAGGGGUUCGCCAGGAAAGGGGCUGCAGCAGUUUCCCCCGGGAAGUCAGGAGCCGUGGCCACCCAGGCCAGGAAGCCAGAGGAGGACUCGGAGAGCAGCAGUGAGGAGGAGUCUGACAGUGAGGAGGAGGAGGCGGUGGCGGCACCAGCCCAGGUGAAACCUGCUGUAAACCACCCCCAGAGCAAGGCCUCCCUGACGAAAGGUGUCGCAGGCACUCCUAAAUCUACCAAGGCUCCCCCAGCACGAGUGGACACACCGGCCCCACAGAAGCCUAGGCCAAUGACUCCUGCCAAGAAGGAGAGUGACUCCAAAACUGCCAGAAGCAAGACCCUGGCCCCAGCACGUCCAGAGAAGAAUGCCAGAGGGUCCUCGGAGAGCAGUGGCGAGGAGCUCCCGGCCAGCCAGGUGAUUAAACCCCCUCUGAUUUUUGUCGACCCUAAUCGUAGUCCAGCUGGCCCAGCUGCUACCGCCACACAAGCCCCAGCUGCAAACACCCCGAGGAAGGCCCGGGCCUCGGAGAGCACAGCCAGGAGCUCCUCCUCUGAGAGCGAGGAUGAGGAUGUGAUCCCUGCUACGCAGUGCUCCAUUCCCGCCACUAGAACAAACUCGACCACGCUCAUGGCCCACCCAAGGCCCGCUGUCAGAGCCAGCAGCAGUGAGGCGUCCGGUCGGGUGUCGGAAGGCAAGAAACAGGAGGCACCGGUCGCUCAGGUGACAAAGAGGAACCCUGCUCACCUCCCGCUGACUCAGGCCGCCCUGAAGGUCCUUGCCCAGAAAGCCAGUGAGGCCCAGCCUCCUGCUGCCAGGACCCCGUCUUCAAGUGGGGUUGACAGUGCUCUGGGAACACUCCCUGUGAUGAGUCCCCAAAGAGCCCCUGUGCAGGCCAAAGUGACCAACAAGUUCAGGAAACCUGAGGUUCCUGUGGUCCAGCAGGCCACGGCCACCCCUGCAGGACGCCCCAGAGCCAAGGCCUCUGAGACCUCCAACGACAGUGAGGACAGCAGCGGCAGCUCUUCAGGGAGUGAGGAGGAUGCUGAUGGGCCCCAGAUGGUCCCCUCGGCCCACAGACUGGUAGGUCCGGCCCCCUCCACAACGGAGACCUUGGUGGAGGAGACCACAGCAGAGUCCAGUGAGGACGAGGUGGUGGCACCCUCUCAGUCUCUCCUCUCAGGUUAUGUGACCCCUGGGCCAACUCUGGCCAAUUCCCAGGCUUCAAAGGCCACUCCCAGGACAGAUCUCGACCCCUCGGCUUCCUCUACUCCCGCCACCAAAGAUGCCCCAGACGGCAAGCAGGAAGUGGAGCCCCAACAAGUAGCAGGCACCAUAUCCCCUAAAACAGGCAGAAGACAGGCUGGUCCCACGCCUCAGAAGCCCCGGAAGCCCAAGAAGGAGGCUGGGAGCCCCCAAGCGUCCACGCUGGCGCUGCAGGGCGACAUCAGCCGGCGCCUCCUGAACGAGCCCUGGCCCCUGAACGAGGCCCAACUCCAGGCCUCGGUGGUCAAGGUCCUGACGGAGCUGCUGGAGCAGGAAAGGAAGAAGGCCGCGGAUGCCGCCAAGGAGAGCAGCAGGAAGGCCCGGGGGGGCCGCAAGCGGAAGCUGUCGGAGGACCAGACGGCUGCCAGGGCCCCCAAGAGCAAGAAGAAGAAGCAGCCGGUGGCUGGGGGAAGCGGGGAGGGUGCAGUCUCGCCAGAAAAGGCCUCCGGGACUCCUAAGGGGAAAUCCAAGAGAGCCGGAGCAAGUGGUGACAUCAAGGAGAAGAAGGAAAAAGAGUCUCCUGGCUCUCAGGGGGCCAAGGAGAGGCCAGAAGGGGAGCCGGGGACGCUGAAGGUGGAGGGUGGAGACCAGGGCAACCCCAAGAGCAAGAAAGAGAAGAAGAAAUCCGACAAGAGUAAAAAAAAAAGACAAGGAAAAAAAGGAAAAGAAGAAGAAAGCAAAAAAGGCCUCAACCAAAGACCCUGACUCACCAUUCCAGAAGAAAAAGAAGAAAAAGAAGAAGACAGCGGAGCAGACUGUGUGAGGGGCACAAGAGGACAGGUCAGUGGGACCAGCGAGGUGAUGCCAGAAGUCAGAGCUGCAGAAUCAGAAGAGUCCAGAACAGCAAUGGCAGUGACCAACACGGAGCUCCCUGGGUGCCCGCGCGGCUCGUGCCUUAGGAGCCGGGCACGGGGCUAGUGCCUCUUUGUAUGUGAGGAUGAGGCUUGAGGUCAGAUACGGCUUGGUCUCUCCCCACCACUGUCUAGUUCCUUUUCCUUUUGAUUUUGUAACUUUGAGGGCAUCGUCCGAGGCAGAGGAAGACGAUUUAGUCAGGCCAGGCCAUUCCUGGGGAUCUGGGCUCGCUCUCGGGGUGGUGGUAGGAGGGAUUGAGUGUUCCACCCGGCCGAUCGGCCCCAGCAGCCAGCAGCCUCCUGGAAAUGGGGGUAGCCCAGCCUGCCUGGGUGUGGUGAGGGUUAAGUGGCUCGCUAGAGCACUCAGCCCAGUUCCUGGGACGCGGGCAGGGCCACCAAGUGCCCUCUGUGGUUAAUGCUCCUUCCCUGCAAGACCAAGAUACCAGGUCUUGCUUUGGUUUUCUUCUCUUCGGAGAAAAAGGUCAGAAAUCUUCCAUCUGGGUGUUUCCUUCACCUGGGGAUUUCUUAGCCAGGCGGUGACCAGCCGCCUGCCUCUGCCCUCUGCCCACCAUGGGUUGGAAUUGAAUCUUUAAGCUUCCCUCCC